rnacentral:lncRNA from 10 species
GGGUUUAUCAGGGGUUUUGCUUCUCUCUCAUUCUCUUUUGCCACUACCGUGUAAGAAGUGCCUUUCACCCUCCACCAUAAUUGUGAGACCUUCCCCAGCCACGUGGAACUGAUCUACUUUGUGCUACAGGCCAACAGCCCGGAUAAGCAUCUGGGUCCCCAGCAAGCGCUCUGUGCUUUUUUUAAAAACACGCACACAUGUUCUGCCUCUUAUUUCCUGAGCAGUCCCAACACCUGGAGUGGUCACAGUCCAAAAAAGUCAGGCCAGGAAAUUGAGUUCUUCUUGACUCCUGGCUGGGACAUUUAGCCAGGGACAUUAUGAAUGUGUUUUGUAACUAACCCUCUACAAGAGAAGACCAGGUCCCUGCCAAGGAAUUCACGAGACCCUGGAGUUCGCAAAGAGGGAAAAGAAGAGAAACCUCACUGAUCCAUCCGACAAGGAGCUGGACAAUUUGUGAUUUCAUCUCAAAUGUUCCCUUAUCUCCUACCAAGCAAAAGAAAACUAAAUAUCACUCUCCCUCCUAAAGGCACACAUACAUAAAAGAAGAAAUUUUUUAAAAGAAAGAGGAGAAGAAAAAAAACCUGGAAGCAUUUUUGAAGGCAAAAGGCUGUUUAUUGCUGCCAAAGUGCUGAUUUUUUUUUUCUGCCUCUGGCAACUGUAUGAGAAUUGGAGACUUCAGCAGAGAAGAAAUCCAUUCACUUGUCAUCGCAUAAAACCUCUGUGUUCCACAGAGGAAAUGGCAAAAUUUCACCCUUAACUGGAUUUGUAAAUUCUUACAGGGGGCUGGGAGAGGGGGUGGAGGAGAGGUCAGGCUGUUCUACAUCCUGGGGCAUUCGGUAACCUCACUGUGCCAUGUGAGGGAACGGCUUGUCCACCACAGCAGCCUUACGUCAGCAGGAGACAAAGGUAGAGGCUGAAGAGUCAGAAUGGGGCGGGCACCAGUCCCCAGCCCAGGCCACAAAAGAGCAAUUCCAGCCCACGCCACUACAGAGGGUUCCAUCUAAACGUAUUUUAAAUGACUCAAGCACUGGGGAUGUUUUCUUUUCCCUGGAGUAUAUCUCACAGCCUUUUUAAUAAUGAUUGUUCGAAACAAUUGCUUGUUAUUAAGCUUAGCACUGCCACAUUCGGUCAUUGUGCUAAGCCCAGUAUUCAUUUCCUCUUUCCCUUUCCUGCGUGUGAUUUUUCUUACUAUCCAUCUACUACCUGUCCUGCUGGAUUUACCCCCAUUCACAGAGACAAAGUAAAAACAGCAGGAGAGAGCCAAAGGUCAUCUAGUCCAUCCAGCCAUUCUUAUCAGGUCAGCUAUCCCAUUCUGACCCUCUAGGUGUGAUGUUUCCAUCUCUUUUGUCAAAUUCUCUUUGUUCUGCUGUUUUCCAUUUUGAUAUAAAAGUCAAAGUGUGGUGAUGGCAAUAUUCCUAAGCAUCCCUGUAUCAAAUUUUCCUGACUUUCAAAGUGCUGAGGUCAAGAUCCAGAAAACUCGAAACCAGAGGAAAUCAGGUUGCUAGGACGCCGGAACCGUUACGAUGCUCUCAGCCUUAAUUAGGUGUAAGUAACAUCUUGUCAGUGUUCUGCCACAUAUGCUAAAGCUGCCGGGGCAAUUUUACUGAGUCUGACAGCUGAAAUCAGAAACAAGAGAGUUAACAUGUCAAUGAUGCGGCUGGACAUGAUGGAUAUAUUAAGAGGAGUCUGGAAAAUUCUGGACUUCAUUACAUCGACUCUACUUCUCAAAAGUUCCUGUCAAAAGAAUCUCCGCCUCAUCAGAAAAGCUCCUCUGGGAUCUGAUUACACCCAAUUACAGGGCCUCCCACAGCCACCUGGACACAGGGGUACUUCUGCCCAAACUCAUUGGAGAAGUGAUUGAGGGAAGAUGAGAACAAGGAAAUUGCUGAUUUUGGUAUAAUUUCUACAAAUAGAUCUAUUGAGAUUUAAAAGGUGCAAUAACUUGACAUUUUUGGUAAGUUAAAAACUGCUUAAAAAUUGGUUUGCUGGUUGUUUCUUUUUCCAUCUUGGCCCCGGGCUAUUUUCAAAAUGAAAAGAAUGGGAUCAAGUCCUGAAAACUGAGGUGGAGUUGAAGGCAAUAAUAAAAUUUUAAAGAUGACAAAGAGGAAAGUGAUAAUCUCCUGAAAGUGUUAGAGGCACACUUGACUUUGGAUGGCAAGUUUCUCAGAAGGAAAGAAUGAGGGCAAGAAAAAGGAACUUCCUCUGCUAAGGGGCUGGCGCAUUAGCAGGUUGGCCUGAACAUGGCUCUUUCUUGUCCAGUCCUUGGGGUGCUGUCCUCUGGAAGGCGUCUGCAGCCAAGACCCCAAGAACUGGCACAGCGUGAACUGCCAUUGACAUGUCAUUUUAAGGAUGGGAGAAUGCUUGCUACCCCAGCCAGGGAGAGAGAAGAUGUAGUAACCAGGGGCAGAGCCGGUCAUGCUGAUAUGGCAUCAUAUUCCUGGAAGAUUCCAUACCUGUCUAUCAUUAAAUAGGAGGGUUGAGCCCAGGCUAAAAAUACAGUAUCAUGAGUGACUUGCAAAGGGACUCACGAAUAAUUUUUGCCUCCCCCAUUCCCUUUAAAAGUAAGAAUUGUCAAUCAAAAGUGUGUGUUUACAUUGCUGAACGAUGAGGUUUUAAACCUCAGACUUGCUGCAAAGACUCAUGUCUACGUAGUGCCGAGAGUGGAAGGCUCACAAAGGGGGAGAGUCUCCAUGGAUUUCAACAGAAGGGAACGCCUAGCUUUAUAAUGGGCCUUUCUAUAUCACCGUUUUGGCUAGGGGUCCAUAUGAAUUUGUUGUGAUAUUAGGCAGAGGCUCUAUGGCCUGGCAAUGUUGACACUGCUUCAGAAGUUUAAACAAAUGUUACGUGAGUUUUGAAGCAAUGAAUAAACGUCAAAGAAAUGGUUUGGAAACAACAGUGGGAAGGGGAAAGUAGUUGGACAUUACCUAGUAAGGAAAUCAUCUUGCCUUUCUAUUUUUUCCCCCCACAAGAAAAAAAGCAGAAAGAUUCCACACCCUUUACUCUGUUAACAAGUAAUGGAUCACUUUUCUUUCUUUUCCUUUUCUCAGUAGUGUGAAUGCUAAUUGUUUCCCCCUCUGUCUUAUGCUGGUUUGGAUUGAAACCCUCUUUCCCAAAUCACUCUGCAGGCAAUGAAUCAUCAGACCUGGUGGCUAAUGGCUCUUUUGUGAACCCAGCAGGUGUGUAACAGGCUUCCUCUAAGUGGCCUGUCCUGUGUCUCUUGCCUCUUAGACUCCCAAGAAAGGAGUCAGGGACACAUGAGAGCUCAGAGGGUCUCAGUCCUGAUCCCGUACCAAAGAAUCUUUUUCCACUAAAGAAAACACGAGGCUCUGUGGCCACGAGGACCUACAUUUCGUUUUCUCAGUGAUUAAUGCUGCAGACAAAAAUUAGGUCGAUUACAAUCUCCAGCACUCGCCUGGUAUGUCCACCCCCACAUCACUUGGCCAAGUGUAAUAAUUUCACUCAAAACAACACGAUUUUUCUUAUUUUUCAAGAAAUAUCUGUUGAGUUCAUAAUGCAUAAUGUGGCCCAUGAUAGGUUCUGGGAAAUAUGAAAACUAAUAUAAUAGCUAAUAUUGAUGGGAUAUUUACUUUGUCCCCAGCAGUAUUCUAAUUUCCUGAUAUAAAAUAACUCACUUGAUGCAUAGAUCAAGAAAUUAGUACUAUUAUGAUAUGAUCGUCUUCAUUUAAUAGAUGAGGAAAUGGAGGCGUAAAUUAAAGAACUGGAAGAGCUAGGAUUCAUAUUCAUGCAGGGUGAUUCCAGAGCCACAACGUUCUACAACCCUGCCUGCCAACAGCAAGACAUGAUCCCAGACCUCAAGGACAUCACAGUCUAUUGGUUGGACAUUAUCUAGUCAUAUAAUUGAGUAAUUGGACAUCUAAAUAUAAGUGAAUCAUACUGUGAAACACCAAGGCAUAAAACCUCAUCAGACAUUUGCUGAAGCCUCAUCUUAAUCAAAUCAGACCUGUGUUGGUCAGUCUACGAAAUGCUCUGUUCCUGAAAUACGCACCACCUCCUCAGAAAAGCUGACUUUGGCUGUUCCUUCUUCAGGAAUUGGCAGGGUCUGGAUGACAUGAACUUCCACCCUGGCCACAAAGAACAAGACCAGGAAGGAUACCUGUAUUCAUUUCCUAGGUUUGCCAUAACAAAGUACCACAAAGUUGGUGGCUGAGAACAACAGAAAUAUGUUGUUCCACAGUUGUGGAGGCUAGAAGUCCAAAAUUAAGGUGUUGGCAAGGCCUUGCUCCCUUAUAAAUCUGUAGAGCGAGGAUCCCUUCUUCCAGCUUCUGGUAGCCCCAGAUGUUCAUUGGUUUAUGGAAGCAUAAUUCAGUCUCUGCCUCUAUCCUUACAGGGCAUUCUCCCUGUGUAUCUUCCUAUUGUCUUCCCUCUAUGUAUGUCUGUCUCUGUAACCAAAUUUUUCAUGUUUGUAAAGGCAUUACCCAUAUUGGAUUAGAGCCCACACUUACAACCUCAUUUUAACUUGAUUACCUUUGUUAAGACACUAUUUCCAAAUCUGGUCACAUUCUGAGGCACAGGGGCAUUAGAAUUUCAACACAUCUCUUUUGGGCAGACACAGUUCAACCCCUAACAAUACUCUAGCCAAAUGUGAACUGAGAAACUCCACAGCCUCAGAGCUGUCCUGGCCCAAGAACUCUGCCCAAUAAGAGUGUGCCAUAUUGACUGGUAACUGAUCCACCCCAUUAGAUUCUGCCUUGAGAGUUUUGGAUUCUAGCUGGAGUUUAACAGACAAGUCCAUGGGGGUGGUGAUGUCACUGGAGCUACUUCUGAUAGACUUUGAAGACACCCCCGUCACUAAAAUGUCUCCAAAGCCUGAAAAGAAGAGUCAAGUACAGGUUCUCUACCAGGCCAAGGCAGCUGCUGAGGCCCCUUCCUGGGAUUCCUUGCUUGUUUUUACUAAAUAUAUCAAUUAAACAAACUAGACAACAGUAUUUUUUGGUCUUUUUAUGCAAACGAAUAACACUCCUGCCUAACCAAUUCUGACUUUUUUCAUCCUGUCAAAACUACACUUAAAAUUCAUAUACUAUGGAAAACCAUUCAAAGUUCAUCAUCUUUAUCUUUGGUCACUA